rnacentral:rRNA from 1 species
CGCCGCGUGAGUGAUGAAGGUUUUCGGAUCGUAAAACUCUGUUGCCAGGGAAGAAUGGCUAGGCGAGUAACUGCGCUUAGUUUGACGGUACCUAACCAGAAAGCCACGGCUAACUACGUGCCAGCAGCCGCGGUAAUACGUAGGUGGCAAGCGUUAUCCGGAAUUAUUGGGCGUAAAGCGCGCGCAGGCGGUUUCUUAAGUCUGAUGUGAAAGCCCACGGCUCAACCGUGGAGGGUCAUUGGAAACUGGGGAACUUGAGUGCAGAAGAGAAAAGCGGAAUUCCACGUGUAGCGGUGAAAUGCGUAGAGAUGUGGAGGAACACCAGUGGCGAAGGCGGCUUUUUGGUCUGUAACUGACGCUGAGGCGCGAAAGCGUGGGGAGCAAACAGGAUUAGAUACCCUGGUAGUCCACGCCGUAAACGAUGAGUGCUAAGUGUUAGAGGGUUUCCGCCCUUUAGUGCUGCAGCUAACGCAUUAAGCACUCCGCCUGGGGAGUACGGUCGCAAGACUGAAACUCA